rnacentral:rRNA from 1 species
UGAGUAACCUGCCCUUCACUCUGGGAUAACUCCGGGAAACCGGGGCUAACACUGGAUAUGACUCGAACAGGCAUCUGUUUCGGGUGGAAAGAUUUAUUGGUGGAGGAUGGACUCGCGGCCUAUCAGCUUGUUGGUGAGGUAAUGGCUCACCAAGGCGACGACGGGUAGCCGGCCUGAGAGGGCGAUCGGCCACACUGGGACUGAGACACGGCCCAGACUCCGUACGGGNGCA